GAUGAACGCUGGCGGCGUGCCUAAUACAUGCAAGUCGAGCGAACAGACGAGGAGCUUGCUCCUCUGACGUUAGCGGCGGACGGGUGAGUAACACGUGGAUAACCUACCUAUAAGACUGGGAUAACUUCGGGAAACCGGAGCUAAUACCGGAUAAUAUAUUGAACCGCAUGGUUCAAUAGUGAAAGACGGUUUUGCUGUCACUUAUAGAUGGAUCCGCGCCGCAUUAGCUAGUUGGUAAGGUAACGGCUUACCAAGGCAACGAUGCGUAGCCGACCUGAGAGGGUGAUCGGCCACACUGGAACUGAGACACGGUCCAGACUCCUACGGGAGGCAGCAGUAGGGAAUCUUCCGCAAUGGGCGAAAGCCUGACGGAGCAACGACGCGUGAGUGAUGAAGGUCUUCGGAUCGUAAAACUCUGUCAUUAGGGAAGAACAAAUGUGUAAGUAACUAUGCACGUCUUGACGGUACCUAAUCAGAAAGCCACGGCUAACUACGUG
rnacentral:rRNA from 1 species